rnacentral:rRNA from 1 species
GACGAACGCUGGCGGCGUGCCUAAUACAUGCAAGUCGAACGCCGGGGGGACGGGUGAGUAACACGUGGGUAACCUCCCAUCCGAGGGGAUAAAACUUGGAAAAAGGUGCUAAAACCGAUAUUGAUGGAUGGACCCGCGGUGAAGUAGCUAGUUGGUGGGGUAACGGCUCACAAAGGCCACGAUGAAUAGACGACCUGAGAGGGGGAACGACCACACUGGAACGGAGACACGGCCCAGACUCCUACGGAAGGCAUCAGUAGGGAAUAUUCGGCAAUGGACGAAAGUCUGACCGAGCAACGCCGCGGGAGUGAAGAAGGUUUUCGGAUCAUAAAACUCUGUUGGUAGAGAAGCGGUAUCUAACCAGAAAGCCACGGCUAACUACGUGCCAGCAGCCGCGGUAAUAC